UGUGUCUAAAUAUACAUGCUAAAACAGUUGAAGAUGGAAAUUGAAAAAUGUAGUUCUUUUAUGUCGACAUAAUCUGCGCUAUUUAAUAUUACUUAAGUAUACGUUACAAUAAUUGAAGAUACUUCCCCUUACCCUGAAUUCAUUUGAUUCUUGUGCUCAAGUGAACCUGCAUAUGUUUGCAAUUCUUGAUUGUAUUCUCUAGUGAUCAUUUACCCUACUGUCUUUAUUACACAAUCCCUGUUUUCAAUGUUAUUUCAUCAUUUUUAGACAAAUCCAUAUUUACACAUUGAAGCAAGUGCUGAGGAGAUUGAGGCGGCAAGGGAGAAAGAUGAAUUAUUGAAAAAAAAAUCUGAUUAUUACUUACAACCAUUGCUCAUUUCCAAUAAAUUACAUGGCUAUGACUCCAAUGCACCAUUACCCACCCCUCCCACAGAUGCAUACACGGCACCUACAGUUCCUUUACCUGAAGUUGCUGUUGAACCAUCUACACAGAAAUUAAAAGAUGCUGGUUCUUACGAAAGGCUAGCAGACGAUACCUCUCCACGAAAAGGAGCAUCUUAUAAGAAUGAAGACGCAAUAAGAUUAGAAAAUAUGACAGCGACAAAUCACAACGACACUAAAGAUGUUCAACAGCCUGAGAAGAUAGAGUCCAUUGUUUGAAGCAUAUUGUUUACAUUAUUUUGUGAAUUGGAAACGAAGAUACGUAGGAACUGCCAAUUGAAGAAUUUUAA